UGACACCUAUGAAGGUUUUGAAGAAUGCUUGGGCUUUUUAUGUUGGAUACCUGCUAAAGAUACAACUCCUAACCAAAAGAAACUGAGAAGGUAAGCUGAGCCUGUAAGGUCUGUGAGUGAACCAAAGUCUGCAAAUUUUGAACCUAAAGUGGGUGUCUUUAGGAUGUGUCUUCGGACCAGGCCUCCAAAGCUGUGUAUGCAAAGAAAGGAAUAAGAGGACAGAUGGCAGAAAUUUCCCAAGGGAGAAAAGAGAAUUACUGGAGAAGAUCAGAAUCAGACCUGCAGAGGUGAUCGUGAAAUGGAAAUGCCCGAAAACUCAGUUUCUCAAGGUUGAUAUAACCCGUGCCUAGACUUGGUGUGAGAACCAUAUGGAUAGGAAGAACUAACCUAGACCCAAGAUGCAAGUUCACGGAUUGCAAGACAGGAGGCCAAACGCUGAAACGGCAUCUGACAAAAGUCUUCUUGAUACACAAUGAAUCCUGACCUGGGAUGGAAAGUAAUUUUUGGGAACAUAUUUACAGAACUAUGUGUAAUAGAUCUAGCAAAGGCUGAAGGCUGGUAAUAGCGACUGAUGUAGUACCUUGGAGAAAAGAAACCUGAACACUGCUCUCCAAGGAGGCCAAGUGAGGAGUGAGGGCUGAUACGCUGAAUGCCUCCCUGCAAAUCUUGAAUCCAACCUUUCCAUGGUUUGCUCAAUGUAGAAUAUCAUUAUACCAAUGAGUGUUGCACUGAAGUAA